rnacentral:rRNA from 1 species
UACGUAGGGGGCAAGCGUUAUCCGGAAUUACUUGGGCGUAAAGCGCGCGCAGGCGGCUCCUUAAGUCUGGUGUGAAAGCCCGCGGCUCAACCGCGGAGGGUCAUUGGAAACUGGGGAGCUUGAGUGCAGGAGAGGAGAGUGGAAUUCCACGUGUAGCGGUGAAAUGCGUAGAGAUGUGGAGGAACACCGGUGGCGAAAGCGGCUCUCUGGCCUGUAACUGACGCUGAGGCGCGAAAGCGUGGGGAGCAAACAGG